rnacentral:rRNA from 1 species
AAUACAUGCAAGUCGAGCGGAUCUUCAUUAGCUUGCUUUUGAAGAUCAGCGGCGGACGGGUGAGUAACACGUGGGCAACCUGCCUGUAAGACUGGGAUAACUUCGGGAAACCGGAGCUAAUACCGGAUAAUCCUUUCCCUCACAUGAGGGAAAGCUGAAAGACGGUUUCGGCUGUCACUUACAGAUGGGCCCGCGGCGCAUUAGCUAGUUGGUGAGGUAACGGCUCACCAAGGCAACGAUGCGUAGCCGACCUGAGAGGGUGAUCGGCCACACUGGGACUGAGACACGGCCCAGACUCCUACGGGAGGCAGCAGUAGGGAAUCUUCCGCAAUGGACGAAAGUCUGACGGAGCAACGCCGCGUGAACGAUGAAGGCUUUCGGGUCGUAAAGUUCUGUUGUCAGGGAAGAACAAGUACCGGAGUAACUGCCGGUACCUUGACGGUACCUGACCAGAAAGCCACGGCUAACUACGUGCCAGCAGCCGCGGUAAUACGUAGGUGGCAAGCGUUGUCCGGAAUUAUUGGGCGUAAAGCGCGCGCAGGCGGUUCCUUAAGUCUGAUGUGAAAGCCCCCGGCUCAACCGGGGAGGGUCAUUGGAAACUGGGGAACUUGAGUGCAGAAGAGGAGAGCGGAAUUCCACGUGUAGCGGUGAAAUGCGUAGAGAUGUGGAGGAACACCAGUGGCGAAGGCGGCUCUCUGGUCUGUAACUGACGCUGAGGCGCGAAAGCGUGGGGAGCGAACAGGAUUAGAUACCCUGGUAGUCCACGCCGUAAACGAUGAGUGCUAAGUGUUAGAGGGUUUCCGCCCUUUAGUGCUGCAGCAAACGCAUUAAGCACUCCGCCUGGGGAGUACGGCCGCAAGGCUGAAACUCAAAGGAAUUGACGGGGGCCCGCACAAGCGGUGGAGCAUGUGGUUUAAUUCGAAGCAACGCGAAGAACCUUACCAGGUCUUGACAUCCUCUGACAACCCUAGAGAUAGGGCGUUYCCCUUCGGGGGACAGAGUGACAGGUGGUGCAU